CCUACGGGUGGCAGCAGUGAGGAAUAUUGGUCAAUGGACGAGAGCCUGAACCAGCCAAGUAGCGUGAAGGAUGACUGCCCUAUGGGUUGUAAACUUCUUUUAUAAGGGAAUAAAAUGUUCCACGUGUGGGAUUUUGUAUGUACUAUAUGAAUAAGGAUCGGCUAACUCCGUGCCAGCAGCCGCGGUAAUACGGAGGAUCCGAGCGUUAUCCGGAUUUAUUGGGUUUAAAGGGAGCGUAGGUGGAUUGUUAAGUCAGUUGUGAAAGUUUGCGGCUUAACCGUAAAAUUGCAAUUGAAACUGGCAGUCUUGAGUACAGUAGAGGAGGGCGGAAUUCGUGGUGUAGCGGUGAAAUGCUUAGAUAUCACGAAGAACUCCAGUUGCGAAGGCAGCUCACUGGCCUGCAACUGACACUGAGGCUCGAAAGUGUGGGUAUCAAACAGGAUUAGAUACCCGUGUAGUC
rnacentral:rRNA from 1 species